GGAAGCCGGGUUACGGUGCCCAACUGCGCGCUAACCUAGAACCCACAAAGGGUGUUGGUCGAUUAAGACAGCAGGACGGUGGUCAUGGAAGUCGAAAUCCGCUAAGGAGUGUGUAACAACUCACCUGCCGAAUCAACUAGCCCCNNNNNNNGAUGGCGCUGAAGCGCGCGACCCAACCCCGGCCAUCUGGGCGAGCGCCAUGCCCCGAUGAGUAGGAGGGCGCGGCGGCCGCUGCAAAACCCGGGGCGCGAGCCCGGGCGGAG
rnacentral:ncRNA from 1 species